UGCGUCGGCUUUUCGCAGACCGCCUUCGAGCGGGGAAGCGCCGCGCCUGCGCCACGGGGGAGGCUGCGGAGGGGAGCGGCAUCGGGACCGAGAGCCGGACUCAGAGAGAAAUCGAGAUCGGCAUCGAGAACGGGCCGCUACCGGUGUCAAGGGCGGCGGGAGACCCCGUCGCCCCUCGGGGGGCGGGAUCGGAAGCGCUCCUCUCGCGCUAAGUGCGCGGCCCUGCGCGGGGCAUUGUGGGAGCGCGGCGGCUAAGAUGGCGGAGGCGUUUGGGGAUGAGCUCUUCAGCGUGUUCGAGGAGGACGCGGCCGCCGCUGCUUCUGGCGCCAAGAAGAGUAAAACGGGCGCCGCCGAGGGUGCCAGGAGGCCGGGAAAACGAUUGGAAGAAAAACCUUCAGUACCAGCAGCAAUAGUCAAGCCAAAAAGGGAAGCUGAGAUUGAUAGUACUGAAAAUGUCAUUUUGGGAAAAAAACCAAAAUUGGAAGAUGCUUUAUCAGAAGAUGUUAAUCUGACAGAUCUGAUGCCUCAAGUAAAGGUGCAGUCUGUGGAAACUGUUGAAGGCUGUACACAUGAGGUUGCGCUUCCAGCAAAUGAGGAAUUCACAGGUCUGAAGCCAAGAACUGGAAAAGCUGCAAAAGAAUAUCCAUUUAUUCUUGAUGCCUUCCAGAGAGAAGCUAUUCUUUGUGUAGAUAAUAACCAGUCUGUGCUGGUGUCAGCUCACACAUCAGCUGGUAAAACUGUUUGUGCUGAGUACGCAAUUGCCCUAGCUUUGAGGGAAAAGCAGCGUGUGAUAUUUACAAGUCCAAUUAAAGCUUUGAGUAAUCAGAAGUACCGUGAGAUGUAUGAAGAAUUCCAGGAUGUUGGUUUGAUGACUGGGGAUGUUACCAUUAAUCCUACGGCUUCUUGUUUGGUAAUGACAACUGAGAUCUUGAGAAGUAUGCUUUACAGAGGUUCUGAGGUUAUGCGUGAAGUCGCAUGGGUUAUUUUUGAUGAAAUUCACUACAUGAGAGAUACAGAACGUGGUGUGGUUUGGGAAGAGACUAUUAUUUUGCUUCCUGAUAAUGUACAUUAUGUGUUCCUUUCUGCAACUAUUCCAAAUGCCCGUCAGUUUGCUGAAUGGAUCUGCCAUCUUCACAAACAGCCUUGCCAUGUGAUUUACACUGACUAUCGACCUACUCCACUGCAGCAUUAUAUAUUUCCAGCAGGAGGAGAUGGACUGCAUUUGGUUGUUGAUGAAAAUGGAGAUUUCAGAGAAGAUAAUUUUAAUACAGCAAUGCAAGUGCUUAGAGAUGCCGGAGACUUAGCAAAAGGGGAUCAGAAAGGCAGGAAAGGAGGAACAAAAGGUCCUUCAAAUGUUUUUAAGAUUGUGAAGAUGAUCAUGGAAAGGAAUUUCCAACCUGUGAUUAUUUUUAGCUUCAGUAAGAAAGACUGUGAAGCCUAUGCACUUCAGAUGACAAAGUUAGAUUUCAAUACAGAUGAAGAAAAAAAAAUGGUUGAAGAAGUCUUCAAUAAUGCAAUUGAUUGUCUCUCAGAUGAAGACAAAAAGCUUCCUCAGGUUGAACAUGUGCUUCCCCUUCUGAAGCGAGGAAUUGGUAUUCAUCAUGGUGGUUUGCUUCCUAUCUUAAAAGAAACCAUAGAAAUUCUUUUCUCAGAGGGCCUAAUAAAGGCCUUAUUUGCAACAGAGACCUUUGCUAUGGGAAUUAAUAUGCCAGCCAGAACUGUGCUGUUUACAAGUGCCAGUAAAUUUGAUGGAAAAGAUUUCCGAUGGAUAUCCUCAGGUGAAUACAUUCAAAUGUCAGGUCGUGCAGGACGCCGAGGUAUGGAUGACAGAGGAAUAGUAAUUCUUAUGGUUGAUGAAAAAAUGAGUCCAACCAUUGGCAAGCAGCUUUUGAAGGGUUCAGCUGAUCCCUUAAACAGUGCUUUCCACCUGACAUACAACAUGGUAUUGAACUUACUUCGAGUGGAGGAAAUCAACCCUGAAUACAUGUUAGAAAAAUCAUUUUAUCAGUUCCAACAUUACAGAACUAUUCCAGAAAUAGUGGAAAGAGUCAAUAAUUUGGAAGCACAGUACAACAAAAUUGUAAUUCCUAAUGAAGAAAAUGUGGUGAUAUACUACAGAAUCCGCCAGCAGCUUGCAAAACUGGGUAAAGAUAUUGAAGAGUAUAUUCACAAACCAAAGUACUGCUUGCCCUUUCUACAGCCAGGAAGACUGGUAAAGGUGAAGAAUGAAGGUGAUGACUACGGAUGGGGAGUGGUUGUUAAUUUCUCUAAGAAAUCAAAUGUUAAGCCAAAUUCUGGUGAAUUGGACCCAUUGUAUGUAGUUGAAGUGCUCCUGCGCUGCAGCAAAGACAGUUUGAAAAAUUCUGCUACCGAGUCUGCAAAGCCAGCCAGACCUGAUGAGAGAGGAGAGAUGCAGGUUGUUCCCGUUUUGGUGCAUCUUGUCUCAGCUAUCAGCAGUGUCCGACUCUACAUACCAAAAGACUUGAGGCCUAUUGAUAACAGGCAAAGUGUGUUAAAAUCUGUACAGGAGGUACAGAAACGUUUUCCUGAUGGAGUGCCCUUACUAGACCCUAUUGAUGACAUGGGCAUCAAAGACCAAGGGUUGAAAAAAGUAAUCCAAAAAAUAGAGGCGUUUGAGCAUAGGAUGUAUUCGCAUCCUCUUCACAACGAUCCAAACUUGGAAACCAUAUACAAACUCUGUGAAAAAAAAGCACAGAUUGCUAUGGAUAUUAAAGUGGCAAAGCGAGAAUUGAAGAAAGCCAGGACUGUCCUGCAAAUGGAUGAACUCAAAUGCCGCAAGCGUGUUUUGAGAAGGCUGGGGUUUGCCACGUCUUCAGAUGUUAUUGAGAUGAAAGGACGGGUUGCUUGUGAAAUCAGCAGUGCUGAUGAACUACUCCUGACGGAAAUGAUGUUCAAUGGGCUCUUCAAUGAUUUGUCUGCAGAGCAGGCAACUGCACUACUCAGCUGUUUCGUGUUUCAAGAGAAUUCCAGUGAAAUGCCAAAAUUGACUGAACAGUUGGCAGGACCACUUCGGCAAAUGCAGGAGUGUGCAAAAAGAAUCGCCAAGGUGUCAGCAGAGGCAAAACUGGAAACCGAUGAAGAAAAUUACUUGAAUUCUUUCAGACCCAACCUAAUGGAUGUUGUGUAUACAUGGGCAAAUGGAGCUAACUUUGCUCACAUCUGCAAAAUGACAGAUGUCUUUGAAGGUAGCAUAAUUCGUUGCAUGAGGCGUCUAGAAGAACUGCUUCGGCAGAUGUGCCAGGCUGCAAAAGCCAUUGGGAACACUGAGCUGGAAAAUAAGUUUGCAGAGGGGAUUACAAAAAUCAAGAGAGAUAUUGUGUUUGCUGCAAGCCUUUACCUGUAACAGCAGAUGUCUUCCAGAAACUAUACUGACAUGAUGGAACAAAUUCAUCAGUGUCACAUGUGGCUUCCAUAUCAAGUGGAACAGAACAGGAGAGGUGGUGCUUUAGCUGGACCCAGCAGCUUUAAGGCCAGCUCUACCCAUAUAGUCCUUUCCUGCAGUCUUUUAAACAUACCACCUCACUUCUUCACAGCUAGGAGACAUCUCCCUCACUGCAAGACAGGUGGUUGAUCCAAUUCUGCAGCUUGAUGUCUUCCACUGCUCAUUUCACCAAGUCCCAUAGCGGAUGUGCUGGGCACAGUGCUGCAUGGAGUGCAAUAAAUGAAAGACUCACGAUCCCUUCCCUUCCUGUAUCGUGUCUUCCCCUCCCACUGCAAGCCUGAGCACUGCAGAACACGUGAAUGUCCAUGGCACAAGAAACAAUCUCCCACCACAGUGGCAGCUAGCUGCUGAUCCAGCACACUACUAUGGCCACAGUCCAGGGGAGUUUCAGCUUCCACUUAAUGCCAGAUUCACUCAGUUCAAUUUAGUGAUCUAUUUGCAGUUGCUGUGCUGCUAUGCUCUAACCUCAGCUUGCUGCUUCUGGAGAGGAACUCCUCAGUUCUUUCACAUAAGAGCAUGAGGGUGGUGGUUGGUGCUGGUGUAUAUUUUUAAAAAUAAUUUCCUGACCUUUCAACUCUACUCACUGUAAUGCUACUUUCUACUCUUUCUUGUAUUACCAAGCACCUUCUGAAUCAUCCCAUAUCCUUGACUAAACUUGUUUUCCUAAUAAAAGUGUCCUCACCUCUUCAAUCUCUGA